GGAGCCGCGGGCGUAAUUUCUUCUGUUUUCAAGUUUGCGGGUAUCGUACUCUCCGUUACGCUAAUAAAUUUUGAAAAACAGAUUUGACUGGUGAGGGAUUGUCGAUUACAUUGGGAUGCGGCAGAGGACAAGAUAAUGAGGCCCUUGCUCUCCGGGAAGUUGAGGUUUUAUUUGGCAUAUAGUGAUCGUUUUGUAAUCGUUUGUUAAUUUAAGGUGGGACGGGUUUCUAGACGGGAAACAGUGAAAUAAUUUUCGGUUAUAGUAAGAGCCAUAAUUUGGUGGGGGUGGUCGGGCUGGGUUUAUUUAAUUAGGGGGGUUAGAGAAAAAACUCAGAGCACCAGUUUAACUGAGAGUUGCAGUGACAGAAGGAAGCGACUAAAAUUGGAGCCAGGGUAAAACCAUGCCUGGUGGAUGGCUUAGCAAACGAAAAGCCCAUGAGACAGGAAAGGACUUGGCAUAUUCCAAAAGCUAAAUACCCUGUGUGACUAGACAGCGAGGUGAAAGACGUUGAGAAGGGCCAGGUCAUGAUUAAGAGAGAGAGAGAGAGCACAAGCAGGGGGAGCGGCAGGCAGAGGGAGAAGGAGAAGCAGGCUCCCCACUGAGCAGGGAGCUGAUGCGGGACUCGAUCCCAGGACACUGAGAUCACGACCUGAACCGAAGGCAGACGCUCAACCAUCUGAGCCACCCAGGUGUCCCAGUGAUCUAGGUCUUAUGAAGCCUGGUAGUUUCCACUUUCACUCUCACGGAAUGCAGCUGCCGUAUAAGUUCAGGCUAGACUAAUGAAUGAUGAGAGACUACAUAGAAAGAGAGAGGCCAAGCCAGCCCCCAGCUAUUCCAACUACCCCAGCUAAGGUGCCAGAUGCAUGAGUGAAGUCAUCUCAGAUAUUCCCGCCUCAAAAAUGAAAACUGUAAGAAGAAAGAAAGAGAGGAAGAGAGGGAGGGAGGAAAGAAAGAAGAGAAAGGAAAAGCGAAGAAAAGAAAGAACAUGGAACAAACUACCCUAAGGACAAAAUAUUUCUGCCCAUCCACUCAAAAUAAAUCCCUCAUAUAGCUUAAGACAUUUCACAUAUUUUGAUUGUUAGUUUUAUCUUAACUAUUCUCUGAUUCCCACUUAGAACAGCUUCUUAAUGCAUAAUACCUUAUUGGAACACUUUAUGUUUGAACAUAUUUUGUAGUUGUUUCUACUGAUGUGUACUUACAAGCUUUGUUAUUAUUAUUUAAAAUAUAUGACCAUUUCUGUGUUGGAAAGAGAGAAGCAGGGACUGACUAAGGGGCAGAGUACCUUAAAUAAUUUGUGGCUUCUCAUUCUGAUGCCUGAUUUAUCACACACCUUCACAAUUUUACUAGAGUCAGAAGGAGGCCUGUUUUCUCUUGGAAUGCUACGUUCUUUGGGGAAGGAAGUAUUCAGAGUCUUUAACACUGUAUUGGAGUGUCCCCUGAGUAUUUAGCAUCUGGAUAUGGCCGUCAUCACAGUAAUGAAAGGUAGAGCAGGCCAUAACUGACCUCUGUCCCGGGGAAAAGCAGGAUCGACACCAAAUCUACCAUGGCUUUUCCCAGUGUUGCAAAAAUAAUGGGUUAUGGCAUCUAUAUAAAAUACUUCUGCAGUCUUGGCAUUUUUAAUUUGUGUAUUGUCACCUAGCCUACAUACAAUUAGGAAAUAACAGUUAAUGAUAUUUCUAUAAACAUUUAGGGGAUUAUAAGCCAUAAUUUUUUUUUAAAGAUUUUUAUUUAUUUAUUUGAGAGAGAGAAUGAGAGAGAGAGAGAGCACAUGAGAGGGGGGAGGGUCAGAGGGAGAAGCAGACUCCCUGCUGAGCAGGGAGCCCGAUGUGGGACUUGAUCCCGGGACUCCAGGAUCAUGACCUGAGCCGAAGGCAGUCGCUCAACCAACUGAGCCAACCAGGCGCCCAAGUCAUAAUUUUCAUAACAACAAUUACAGGCUGUUAGUGUUAACUCUGUUUUUCUCAUACACAUAUAAUAGUGUCUUUCUCUUUUUUUUCAAUAAUAAAUAGUACUAAAAAUUUUAGAAGGAUUUCUGAAAUAUAGUAAAUAACCCAUAUUUGUUCAGAAAUUAUUUCCUUAGUAUUACAAGGAGAGAGAAACUUUUUUUUUUAUUAUGUUAUGUUAAUCACCAUACAUUACAUAAGGAAAGAGAAACUUCUAAACUAGAUGGCUCAUCUGACUUAUUUUGUAUUUAUUUAAAAAAAUAUAUUGCUUAAUAUAAAAAUUAUAUAUAUGUAAUAAAAAGAUUUAAAAAUUCAGAAAAGCCAAGAAGAAAAUAAUUUAAAUCUCCGAUAGAACAACCACUUAGAAAUAAUCCCUGUUAAUAUUUGUAUGGAGGAAUACAUCAAGAGUGAGACUGGUAGGUCACUGCAUUUAUUUAGCACAAUGUACUAGACCUUACUUUUCAAAUAUUAGUUCAUCUGAUUCAAAGAACAAUUCUGUAAGGUGGUCCUAUUAUCAACUCUAUUUUACAGAAGAGAAAGCUACAGAAUAGAGUUAUUAAAUUACUUGCCCAAGGUCAGACCACUAGUAGGUGGCAAAGUUGGGAUUCAAGGCCAGGCAGCCUGACUUUGGAGUCUGUAUUUUUAGUCACUUUAGCUAAACUUACAGUUACCAAUAUAUUUUUAAAAUAGCUUAAGGAGGGCACGUAUUGCAUGGAGCACUGGGUGUAAUACACAAACAAUGAAUCAUGGAACACUACAUCAAAAACUAAUGAUGUUCUGUAUGGUGACUAACAUAACAAUAAAAUUUUGAAAAAUCAACUCAAAUAGAAAAAAAAUAAAAUAGCUUUAUAGAGGUAUAAUUGACAUGCCAUAAACUGCACAUAUUUGAAAUAUACAAUUUGAUAAUUUUAACCGUCUUCACUGUUUUUAAGCAUACAGGUUAGUAGUGUUCAAUAUAUUCACAUUGUGUGUAGUCAGUCUUCAGGAUUUCCCAUCUUGUGGAACCGAGACUCUAACCAUUAGACAACAUCUCCACCAUUACUCCCCGCCCCCACCACACACACACACUCAAGCCUUUGGCAACCACCAUCCUACUUUCUGUUUUAUCAAUUUGACCACUUUAGGUAUCUCAUAUGAAUGGAAUCACACGGUAUUUGUUUUUUUGUGACUAGCUUAUUUCACUUAGCAUAACGUCCUCAAGUUUCAUCCAUCCUAUAGCAUAUGACAAGAUUUCCUUCUUUACUUUUUAAGGCUGAAUAAUGUUCCUGUGUGUGUAGGUACCACAUUUUGUUUAUCCACUCAUCUGUCAAUACCAUUUGGCCUGCUUUCUCCUCUUGACUAUUGUGAAUAAUGUUGCUAUGAACAUGGCUGUGCAAAUAUCUCUUUGAGAUUCUGUUUUCAUUUCUUUUGGUUCUAAACCCAGAAGCAGGAUUGCUGGAUCAUAUGGUAGUUCUAUUUUUAAUUUUUUGAGAAAGGAUCAUACUGUUUUCCAUGGCAGAUGCACCAUUUUGCAUUCCCACCAACAGUGCACAAAGAUUCCAAUUUCUCCAUGUUCUUGCUACCACCUAUUAUUUUCGGUUUUCUUUUUCUAUAGUAAACAUUCUAAUGGGUGUGAGAUGGUAUCUCUUGGUGCUUUUGAUUUGCAUUUCUCUAAUAAUUAGUAAUGUGAGAAUCUUUUCAUAUUUUUUGGUCAUUUGUAUACAUCUUUGGAGAAAUAUCUAGUCUAGUUCUUUGUCCAUUUUUAAAUUGAGUUUAUUUUUUUCUUGAUGAAGGAGAUCUUUAUAUAUUCUGGAUAUUAAUACCCAAUAUGUUUUUUAAAUAAACAUGGAAUAACAUUUCUACUUUGCAGGCUGUUUUGCAAAGUGCUUUUUCAUUUUAUGCAUUUUGAAUAUAUUACCUAGUAUUACUUUGCUAUGAAAUCUAUAUUCUGGCAUAUGUUUAUAGUACAAUUUUUAACGAUCCUUUUAUUGCAAACAUGCUAUUUUCAUUUUUUUGUCAUGGUAAAUUAAACUACACUGAUCAUAUUUAUUGAUUUUAUGAUAGUUUCUGUAUUAGUUUCUGGAGUCCCUUGUUACAAAGUACCACAAACUUCAUGGAUAUAAACAAUAGAAGUUAUUCUCAUAGUUCUAAGGGCUAAAAAUCUGAAACCUGGCAGGACCACGCUGACCCUACAAUUCUAUGGGAUCAUGUUCCUUUCAUUUUCUGGCUUCUGGUGGCUAUUAGCAUUCUUUGACUUUUGGCUGCAUCAUUCCAAUAUCUGCCUCAGUGGUCACAUUGCCUCCACCUCAUCUCUAUGUAAUCUCCCUCUGCCUUAAUCUUUUAAUAAUGUUUGUCAUUGGAUUUAGGGCCCACCCAGAUAAUACAGAAUGAUCUUAUCAUCUCAAGAUCCUUAACUAAAUGACAACUGCGAAGACUCAUUUUCCCUAUAAAUUAACACCUAACAAGUUCUGGGGAUUAGGACAUGGACAGACUGGGUGGAUGGGGGAGGGAGCACUAUUCAACCCACAACAGUUUCAUUAAGAUAAAUUUCUAAAAUUAGAAUGGUUAGUUCAGGGUACGAUGGUUUUAGACAAAUAUUUUCAAAUUGUGUUCUAGAAUGACCUUGAAUCACAUUUUUAAUGUUCUUAAACAUGUGUGUUGUGUGUGUGCUUACAUACACACCAUGGAAAAAUAUAUGUGUACGCCAUAAAAAUUAAAAAAAGGAAAGAAAAGAGAAGAGAAAAUUGGAGGUGGGAAGAAAGUAAAAAAGAAUACUGGGAAUUGUCAGAGCUGUCCUCCUUAAUAAUUCUGUCAAUAGCUGUAUCAGUAAAACAUGCCUUACUACUCUUGGCCUAGAGAGGUGGCCAAACUUGUGUAGCUUUAACUUAUUUAUUUGGUUAUCUCUGUUUUGUUUCUGUUUAGAAAUAUAUUUUGUUUUCAAAUCUUUGCAUUUUAUUUAAAUAAUCUUUAAUUAUGACAUUCUCUAUUAAAAAGAAAUGUUUUUCCUAUUUUCCUCAAUUGCCACAUAAUCUUUACAAUGUAGAGUAUAAAUUUUUGGACUUUUAAAAUCAUUUGAUGAAUAAGCUAAGAAAAGCUUUGUAUGUAUGUAUGUAUUUGG